rnacentral:misc_RNA from 1 species
AGCAGCCGCGGUAAUUCCAGCUCCAAUAGCGUAUAUUAAAGUUGUUGCAGUUAAAAGCUCGUAGUUGAAUUUCGGAAUCUGUCCAUCGGUCGGGCUUCACUGUCCGUACUGGUGUGGUGGGUUCUUACCUUCUGAAUAACCAGCAUGCCAUUCACUUGGUGCGCUGGGGAAGCAGGACUAUUACCUUGAAAAAUUGAGUGCUCAAAGCAGGCUAGUGCCUGAAUACAUUAGCAUGGAAUAAUAAAAUAGGACGGCAUGGUUUUAUUUUGUUGGUUUCUAGGAUCACCGUAAUGAUUAAUAGGGAUAGUUGGGGGCAUUAGUAUUCAAUUGUCAGAGGUGAAAUUCUUGGAUUUAUUGAAGACUAACUUCUGCGAAAGCAUUUGCCAAGGAUGUUUUCAUUAAUCAAGAACG